rnacentral:lncRNA from 7 species
GUGAGGAGGAGAAGAAAGUUAUUUGUCUGCAUCCUUCAAUCUGUAGGCAAAAAGCUGCUCCUAUCCUGUCCAGGCCAUUUCUAUGAAUUGCACAGACAGACCUACUGAUGUAUUUGGGAUAUGUAUUUGCAACAGAUUAACUUUAAAACUACUGCCUUGUUGGUAGCUUUGCCUGUUUGGCUGCAGUCCAGAAGAGAUACAGUGGUACACUAAGCAGGGAGAAGUCAGUGAAUGCCAUGGGCAAUCUGAAUUCAGGAGCUGACCCAGUGAAAAUUUGAAAGGUUUACAGAGUUGGAGAUUACUGCAAGGUUCCUACGAAUAUUUGAGCAAGCAACCUCAGUGAGUGAAAAUUACUACUGAUACUUCUAGAAAAUAUUUAUUCAAGGAAAUGACAUCUCCUUGUGUAAAAAGUUUAUCUAAUAGACAUGUCCAUUUUUCAAGCUAGAACUUUCACUUCUUAACUUCUUAGUUUCAAACUUAGUGGAAUUGUUUUGCUGCUCAGAAGACAGUUUUGUUUACUGGAUUUCUCAGCACAAAAUUAUAAUCAGUAAUAGUGAUACAUCCUUGCAAAUAAUUACAACAGAUUUUAAUAUUAUUUUGUUGGACUAGACUUUACUGAAGUUGUAGACAGUUUUAGUUGGUUUAGAACAUAGUUCAUGAAAUAUUCACAGUUUAUUUGUUGUCUAACAGUAAGCCUUGCCUUUGCAAAUGUCCCUCUGAACCUAUUCACUAUUCAGCUGCAAUGCUGCAAUCAGGACGGGACAGUGGAAGAGCAACGUUUUUCCAAUCAGAUUUUUGUGAUAUAUUCUCUGACUUUUUUGGUAAGCAGGCAUAAACAAAGCUCCAAAAUCAGAAGGAAGUAUUUCAGUAAUUCCCAGGGGAAAGAAUUGGCAUAAGAUAAUUAGUGGAAAAAAGUAUGUUCUUCAAGGAAACAGUGUGUUUUAUAAAAACAAAGAAGGAUGGAACUGUGUAUUUUAAAUUUUAUUGUGAACAUUUUAUAGUGCUUUUACAUGUACAUAGACUCACUGAUUCAUUCAAGUUGCAUGAGAACACUUACUGCUUUGUCAAGUAAAGCUCUGGAGUAUAUAGCCAAGAGACAU